AAUCACUCCUUUCUAAUCCUCUGCUGUACGUUCAAACCUGAGGCCUGAAAUAGAAACACACAAGUAUGUGAUUGAAGGAACUUCUGCAGAGUCCUGGUUCCAGAACAUGAUGAUAGAAUUAUAGACAAACUUUAACAAAAGCUGCCUGAGAGUUUACAGGUUUUUAUGUUAGAUUUCUUCAGUAAUUUAAUGAGAGUUAUCAGCAAAAAUCAAGUGUUCAUUUGAUGAACUUCAUUUCCUAAAACAUCCAGAAUUGGAGCUCAUAUCUUUGACAGCUGUAAAGUUUCUGCUCCUUCAAAGUUCACAACACAAUGAAUGAAUUCCUAAAACACUCUCAGUGCUGGAGAGCGUUUGUGAUGCUGAAGCAGUGACCAGUUUUUCUGUUUCUUUUCUGGAGAUGCACAAUGAGGGACGUCUGCAGCGACUGAGAAAGAAUCUCACCACAUCCUGACAUGAGGAAAAAGACUUUAUUGAAGACUACAAUGAGGAAAAACUAUCAGACAGCAGACGGCUGCAUUCAAGAGAGGAAGACCAUCAAACAUCCGCGUCAGCUGUUGGAGGUCCAAGAGUCUCACCCAACAAACAACCUACAGAGUGAAGACCUCGAAUCUGAUUGGACGGCCUCCUAUUCAGCCACGUGUGAACAAAUGCCUCUAAGCUGAUUUGUUUUCUAAAAUAAAUCUAGUUUGAGUCCUAA